rnacentral:rRNA from 1 species
CGAUGAAGUUCCUUCGGGGAUGGAUUAGUGGCGAACGGGUGAGGAACACGUGAAGAAUCUGCCCUCCACUUUGGGAUAACUCCGGGAAACCGGGGCUAAUACCGAAUAUUGAAACAUAAGUGGCAUCACUGAGUUUUGAAAGAAUUUCGGUGGAGGAUGACUUCGCGGCCUAUCAGCUUGUUGGUGAGGUAAUGGCUCACCAAGGCGACGACGGGUAGCCGGCCUGAGAGGGCGACCGGCCACACUGGGACUGAGACACGGCCCAGACUCCUACGGGAGGCAGCAGUGGGGAAUAUUGGGCAAUGGACGAAAGUCUGACCCAGCGACGCCGCGUGCGGGAUGAAGGCCUUCGGGUUGUAAACCGCUUUCAGCAGGGAAGAAGCGAAAGUGACGGUACCUGCAAAAGAAGCACCGGCUAACUAUGUGCCAGCAGCCGCGGUAAUACAUAGGGUGCAAGCGUUGUCCGGAAUUAUUGGGCGUAAAGAGCUCGUAGGUCGUUAAUUACGUCGGGUGUGAAAAUCUGGGGCUCAACCCCAGACCUGCACUCGAUACGGGUUAGCUAGAGUUUGGUAGGGGAGACUGGAAUUCCUGGUGUAGCGGUGGAAUGCGCAGAUAUCAGGAGGAACACCAAUGGCGAAGGCAGGUCUCUGGGCCAAUACUGACACUGAGGAGCGAAAGCGCGGGGUAGCGAACAGGAUUAGAUACCCUGGUAGUCCGC